rnacentral:misc_RNA from 1 species
GAUGAAGAACGUAGCGAAAUGCGUUAAGUAAUGUGAAUUGCAGAAUCCAGUGAAUCAUCGAAUCUUUGAACGCACAUUGCGCCCGCCAGCAUUCUGGCGGGCAUGCCUGUUCGAGCGUCAUUUCAACCCUCGACCUCCCUUUGGGGAAGUCGGCGUUGGGGACCGGCAGCACACCGCCGGCCCUGAAAUGGAGUGGCGGCCCGUCCGCGGCGACCUCUGCGUAGUAAACCAACUCGCACCGGAACCCCGACGUGGCCACGCCGUAAAACACCCAACUUCUGAACGUUGACCUCGAAUCAGGUAGGACUACCCGCUGAACUUAAGCAUAUCAAUAAGCGGAGGA